CUUGUCCUACGGGGGGCAGCAGUAGGGAAUCUUCCACAAUGGACGAAAGUCUGAUGGAGCAACGCCGCGUGAGUGAAGAAGGGUUUCGGCUCGGAAAGCUCUGUUGGGAGUGAAGAAAGAUAGAGGUAGUAACUGGCCUUUAUUUGACGGUAAUUACUUAGAAAGUCACGGCUAACUACGUGCCAGCAGCCGCGGUAAUACGUAGGUGGCAAGCGUUGUCCGGAUUUAUUGGGCGUAAAGCGAGGGCAGGCGGGUGCA
rnacentral:rRNA from 1 species